UACGUAGGGUGCGAGCGUUAAUCGGAAUUACUGGGCGUAAAGCGUGCGCAGGCGGUUUUGUAAGCCGGAUGUGAAAUCCCCGGGCUUAACCUGGGAAUGGCAUUCGGGACUGCAAGGCUGGAGUGUGGCAGAGGAGACUGGAAUUCCCGGUGUAGCAGUGAAAUGCGUAGAUAUCGGGAGGAAUACCGAUGGCGAAGGCAGGUCUCUGGGCUGACACUGACGCUCAUGCACGAAAGCGUGGGGAGCAAACAGG
rnacentral:rRNA from 1 species